AGGUCAUGUGAUCCUGCAGUGACAGGCGUGGGUGUGGUAGAGUUAGGGACAGAACAGAGUCAACCCCACUCAUGAGGCUGGAAGCUCAAGGAUGAAAAGGGGACAGUGACAGUAGCGAGCCAACUCCACCCACAAGGCUGGAAGCUCAAGGACAAGGGGCAGGCAGACCUAGAUGAAUUCCUGGCAUGUGGCUCUGUGGUACAGCGUUUACCUGGCACUUGAUGUAGUUGGGAGGCAGGCUCACCCAUUUAGCUCCCUCUGCCUUGUACCCGGGGAUUCCCAGUAGCUGUCUUAGCUGGAAGCCACCUGCUAGGCAAAAGACACUGGGCAGCAUAGACAGCUGAGGUCUGCAGCAUGCAGUGUGGGCAGAGUGAAUUCAGGGGCUCUGUGCAACCAGGCGUGUGAGCAAUACAGGAGGCCAGCAUGUCAAGCUUGGGGACAAAGUUGCUGGUGUAGGUCCUCUAGAACUUCAGAGAGGGAACUGUGUUCCAAUGAUGGGCAGAGCCAGUGCAGAGGCUGAACAAGUUCGAAGGGUCUGGCUUGGGAGAAGAAGUUCCGACAGCUGGCGACUAAGCAUUCAAACACAUGAGCCUGUUGAGAGGCCACUCCCAUUCAAAACCACACAAUAGCUUCUGUUGACCUUUGACCACAUCCAGUCUGUGUUCUACCCACUGAGGACAUCUAUAUUUAAUGUCUUACAUUUUUAUCAUCUUGCUCAGGGUUAAGACUGCAUCACAUUGCCCCUUCUCCCGCCUGCCGCCUGCUGUCUUCCAUAGGAAUCUCAGUACAUUCAUUCAGUCUGGUCUGCCUCCCUGUCAGUCACCUGAGUCACGUCCUGCCUG